rnacentral:tRNA from 1 species
UUCCCUGUGGCUUAGUUGGUAGAGCAUGGUGUUUGCAAUGCCAGGGUUCUGGGUUCGAUUCCCACGGGGGGC